AUUAAAGUUGCUGCGGUUAAAACGCUCGUAGUUGAAUUGUGGUCUUAGACAACAGUCCCCCUAUAUAGGUGUGGCACGGUUGCUCGAGAUCUUCAUUCGUGGUUGCUGUUGUUGCUCUUCAUUGAGUGUCAAUGGUGCCUCGAGAUUUUACUUUGAAAAAAUUAGAGUGCUCAAAGCAGGUUGUGAUGCCUGAAUAAUGGUGCAUGGAAUAAUAGAAUACGAUCUCGGUUCUAUUUUGUUGGUUUUCGAACCGGAGAUAAUGAUUGAAAGGAACAGACGGGGGCAUUCGUAUUGCUGCGUUAGAGGUGAAAUUCUUGGAUCGCAGCAAGAUGAACAAUUGCGAAAGCAUUUGCCAAGAAUGUUUUGGUAAACUAUGCCAACCAGCGAUUCGCCGAAGUUCAUUUAAGACUCGGCGAGCAGCUUCCGGGAAACCAAAGUGUUUCGGUUCCGGGGGAAGUAUGGUUGCAAAGCUGAAACUUAAAGGAAUUGACGGAAGGGCACCACCAGGAGUGGAGCCUGCGGCUUAAUUUGACCCAACACGGGAAAACUCACCCGGCCCGGACACUGAAAGGAUUGACAGAUUGACAGCUCUUUCUUGAUUCAGUGGGUAGUGGUGCAUGGCCGUUCUUAGUUGGUGGAGCGAUUUGUCUGGUUAAUUCCGAUAACGAACGAGACUCUACCCUAUUAAAUAGUGACAGUAUUGCAUAUUCUGUGCUGAUCACUUCUUAGAGGGACUGGCAAAUUGAAAGCUGCACGAAAAAGAGCAAUAACAGGUCUGUGAUGCCCUUCGAUGUCCGGGGCUGCACGCGCGCUACAAUGAAAGCGUCAACGUGAGUUACGUCCUUACCUGAAAAGGUUUGGCAAUCGAUUGAAACGUUUUCUUGAAUGGAAUAGGGAAUUGCAAUUGUUUCCCUUGAACGAGGAAUUCCCAGUAAGCGUGAGUCAUUAGCUCGCGUUGAUUACGUCCCUGCCCUUUGUACACACCGCCCGUCGCUACUACCGAUUGGAUGGUUUAGUGAGGCCCUCGGAUCGGCCCCGCCGGGGUCGGCCCACGGCCCUGGCGGAGCGCUGAGAAGACGGUCGAACUUGACUAUCUAGAGGAAGUAAAAGUCGUAACAAGGUUUCCGUAGGUGAACCUGCGGAAG
rnacentral:rRNA from 1 species